GAUGAACGCUGGCGGCGUGCCUAACACAUGCAAGUCGAGCGAACAGACGAGGCGCUUGCUCCUCUGACGUUUGCGGCGCACGGGUGAGUCACACGUGGAUCACCUACUUAUAAUUCUGGGAACACUUCGGGAAACCGGCGCAAAUCCCGGAUAAUAUACUGCACCGCAUGGUUGAAUAGUGAAAGACGGCUUUGCUGGCUCUUAUAGAUGGAUCCGCGCUGCAUUAGCUAGUUGGUACGGUACCAGCUUUUCACGGCAACGAUGCGUAGCCGACCUGACAGGGUGAUAGGCCACACGGGAGCGGAGACACGGACCAUACGCCUACGGGAGGCAGCAGACGGGAAUCUUCCGCAACGGGCGGAAACCUGACGGAGCAACGCCGCGUGAGUUAUGGAGGUCUUCGGAUCGUAAAACUCGGUUAUUGGGGAAGAACAAAUGUGUAAGGAACUAUGCACGUCUUGACGGUAACGAAUCAGAAAGCCACGGCUAACUACGUG
rnacentral:rRNA from 1 species